AUACUUAACUGGCAAGGGAAAUAGCAUGAUCACUAAAGGUUGAUUUUUCAGGGUGGGGUUUGUUUUUUGCAUUGCGGAUGUGCUAACCCCUGCGGUUUUCCGCAAAUGUGGGAAACUUGAUUGCAUAACUUGUCGUAGUGGAGACUAUGUUCAUGCUCUCCCC
ensembl:snRNA U1 U1 spliceosomal RNA